rnacentral:rRNA from 1 species
UAUCCUGGCUCAGGAUGAACGCUGGCGGCGUGCCUAAUACAUGCAAGUCGAGCGAACAGAUAAGGAGCUUGCUCCUUUGACGUUAGCGGCGGACGGGUGAGUAACACGUGGAUAACCUACCUAUAAGACUGGGAUAACUUCGGGAAACCGGAGCUAAUACCGGAUAAGAUUUUGAACCGCAUGGUUCAAUAGUGAAAGACGGCCUUGCUGUCACUUAUAGAUGGAUCCGCGCCGUAUUAGCUAGUUGGUAAGGUAACGGCUUACCAAGGCAACGAUACGUAGCCGACCUGAGAGGGUGAUCGGCCACACUGGAACUGAGACACGGUCCAGACUCCUACGGGAGGCAGCAGUAGGGAAUCUUCCGCAAUGGGCGAAAGCCUGACGGAGCAACGCCGCGUGAGUGAUGAAGGUCUUCGGAUCGUAAAACUCUGUUAUCAGGGAAGAACAAACGUGUAAGUAACUGUGCACGUCUUGACGGUACCUGAUCAGAAAGCCACGGCUAACUACGUG